AAUCUCUCAUCCUUUCGAGCUUUCGUUGAGAAGCUGGUCAGGCUUGGAUUCUGGGAGUUUGCUGGCUAUAUUGAGUCGGCUCUUCUUAAAUGUAUUAGCAGGAUCAUCGCUAAAUCAUGUUUGAUAUGAUAAUUAUUUAUAUCAAUGAAAUGAUAUCUGGCGGAUUUUCAUUUAGGAAAAUCGAUCAAGCUUUACAAUCGUCUCCGGAUAAUAAAUACUUUUGAAUC
rnacentral:misc_RNA from 1 species